rnacentral:rRNA from 1 species
CCUACGGGAGGCAGCAGUGGGGAAUAUUGCACAAUGGGGGAAAGCCUGAUGCAGCGACGCCGCGUGAGCGAUGAAGUAUUUCGGUAUGUAAAGCUCUAUCAGCAGGGAAGAAAGUGACGGUACCUGACUAAGAAGCCCCGGCUAACUACGUGCCAGCAGCCGCGGUAAUACGUAGGGGGCAAGCGUUAUCCGGAUUUACUGGGUGUAAAGGGAGCGUAGAUGGCGAUGCAAGCCAGAUGGGAAAGCCCGGGGCUCAACCCCGGGACUGCAUUUGGAACUGUAUAGCUGGAGUGUCGGAGAGGCAGGCGGAAUUCCUAGUGUAGCGGUGAAAUGCGUAGAUAUUAGGAGGAACACCAGUGGCGAAGGCGGCCUGCUGGACGAUGACUGACGUUGAGGCUCGAAAGCGUGGGGAGCAAACAGGAUUAGAUACCCGAGUAGUC